AAUGCUUUCAAGUGACUUGUUUAUUCUCUCUUACUUAAAAUUUAAUUUUAUACCAGGCAGCCCUUGUGUGUUUCUGUAACUAUUUCAUCUGUUACACCUUGUCCUUUUUUACUGAAGUAGUGCUCUUAAAGGAUAUUCUUGACUUCCAAGUGCAAACAGGAACUUGAUUCACCUGUGGGAAAAGGUCCAGAUUUGCUUGUGACACUUCAUCUGCAACAUGAAGAUGAAGAAGUGGAAAACAGACCUGGAAGAAGCCCUCAAGGCCCUCUGAAACAUGGAGAUUCCUAAAUAUAUUGAAGAGUAACAGGAAGAUAAUAUCAACGCCUCUGUCUCUUUGCUGUUGCAAGCACUACAAAAUCAGAACAAACUGCAUCA